AGUAGCUCAGUGGUUAGAGCGGUCGGCUGUUAACCGAUUGGGUGUAGGUUCGAAAUCCUACCU
rnacentral:tRNA from 1 species